UACGAAGGGGGCUAGCGUUGCUCGGAAUCACUGGGCGUAAAGGGCGCGUAGGCGGCGUUUUUAAGUCGGGGGUGAAAGCCUGUGGCUCAACCACAGAAUGGCCUUCGAUACUGGGACGCUUGAGUAUGGUAGAGGUUGGUGGAACUGCGAGUGUAGAGGUGAAAUUCGUAGAUAUUCGCAAGAACACCAGUGGCGAAGGCGGCUCACUGGCCCGGUACUGACGCUGAGGUGCGAAAGCGUGGGGAGCAAACAGGG
rnacentral:rRNA from 1 species